AUUGAACGCUGGCGGCAUGCCUUACACAUGCAAGUCGAACGGCAGCACGUCCCCUCGGGGAUGGUGGCGAGUGGCGAACGGGUGAGUAAUACAUCGGAACGUACCCAGGAGUGGGGGAUAACGUAGCGAAAGUUACGCUAAUACCGCAUAUUCUGUGAGCAGGAAAGCGGGGGAUCGCAAGACCUCGCGCUCUUGGAGCGGCCGAUGUCGGAUUAGCUAGUUGGUGAGGUAAAAGCUCACCAAGGCGACGAUCCGUAGCAGGUCUGAGAGGAUGAUCUGCCACACUGGGACUGAGACACGGCCCAGACUCCUACGGGAGGCAGCAGUGGGGAAUUUUGGACAAUGGGGGCAACCCUGAUCCAGCCAUGCCGCGUGAGUGAAGAAGGCCUUCGGGUUGUAAAGCUCUUUCGGCGGGGAAGAAAUGGCAACGGCUAAUAUCCGUUGUUGAUGACGGUACCCGCAUAAGAAGCACCGGCUAACUACGUGCCAGCCGCCGCCGUAAGAC
rnacentral:rRNA from 1 species